UUACAAACCAUCAAAGUCAGUGAGGCACUCGAACUCGUUGGAAUGGAUCUCAUAGGUCCCCUGCCUACUACAGACACAUUGUACAAGUAUGUGCUCACCUUCACAGAUUAUUACACCAAGUUUGUGGACUUUUUCCCCCUGAAGAACAAGUCAGCCGAGGGUGUAGCUGCGUGUCUGAAGACAUUUGUUUGCAGAUGGGGUGCUCCACAGAGAUUACUGUCUGACCAGGGUCGUGAGUUCGUAUCCCAGAUAAACAACGAGG